rnacentral:rRNA from 1 species
AUUGAACGCUGGCGGCAUGCCUUACACAUGCAAGUCGAACGGUAACAGGUUAAGCUGACGAGUGGCGAACGGGUGAGUAAUACAUCGGAACGUGCCCAGUAGUGGGGGAUAGCCCGGCGAAAGCCGGAUUAAUACCGCAUACGACCUAAGGGUAAAAGGGGGGGAUCGCAAGACCUCUCGCUAUUGGAGCGGCCGAUGUCAGAUUAGCUAGUUGGUGGGGUAAAAGCUCACCAAGGCGACGAUCUGUAGCUGGUCUGAGAGGACGACCAGCCACACUGGGACUGAGACACGGCCCAGACUCCUACGGGAGGCAGCAGUGGGGAAUUUUGGACAAUGGGCGCAAGCCUGAUCCAGCCAUGCCGCGUGCGGGAAGAAGGCCUUCGGGUUGUAAACCGCUUUUGUCAGGGAAGAAAUCCUUUGGGUUAAUACCUCGGGGGGAUGACGGUACCUGAAGAAUAAGCACCGGCUAACUACGUG